rnacentral:misc_RNA from 1 species
UCCGAGUUGACCCCGGCAGUAUCCCAUGAGUUCCCACCAUUACGUGCUGGCAACAUAGAACGAGGGUUGCGCUCGUUGCGGGACUUAACCCAACAUCUCACGACACGAGCUGACGACAACCAUGCACCACCUGUAUACCGACCACAAGGGGGCGACUGUCUCCAGCCGUUUCCGGUAUAUGUCAAGCCUUGGUAAGGUUCUUCGCGUUGCAUCGAAUUAAUCCGCAUGCUCCGCCGCUUGUGCGGGUCCCCGUCAAUUCCUUUGAGUUUUAGCCUUGCGGCCGUACUCCCCAGGCGGGGAACUUAAUGCGUUAGCUGCGUCACGGAGACCGUGGAAAGGCCCCCACAACUAGUUCCCAACGUUUACGGAGUGGACUAC